rnacentral:lncRNA from 1 species
CUGUUAAUAAUUCCCAGAACCCUAUUUCCAGAAAGUAUCAAUUCUCUCCAAGGUCACCUUUUAAGAGGCAGUGAGCUGUGUCGUACUGUUUGAAGGAUCCUGAAAACUUGCUGCUGAACAGCAUUCAGUGUGGCAAAGGAGUAGAAAAUGUCUUCUCUUACCUGCUGACAGUUGAGUGACCCAGCUGUAACUCCUUCCUUGCUGCUGCUCCUACUACACUGACAAAGGAGAGGAAACAUUUGCAGCAAGCCCUGCAGCAGAGAAUGGAUCCAUAGGGUACUUGGCUACAUGGUGCUGUCUGGGGCCCAGUUUAACCUCACCUUGUCUUUCCAGCAGUCCCAGAACUCUUGAAAAAUGUGGGUGGAGAUCCAUUACACAUGCUUACUCGCCAUGAAAAACAGUGUGAACAGCCAACACAGACUCCAGGUGGUGGAUCAGCAUUAAUCAUAAUAGACCCAGGGGCAGAGGAUUGGCAGGAUACCACAAGAAAUGGUUGUAUGUCCAUCUCCUUGAACUCUGUGACCUCUGGUGGGGGACAGAGAUAUGAAGGCCGGUGUCGCUGGCUUUGUCUUCUAUUCUAGCUAUCAUAAACCACGAUGUGCUGUACGUAUGUAUCCUUUUGCCUGCAGGAAAGGGGUGUGUGAUGUAAUCCUCUGGUAGUAGAUAUAGGCAUUCUGGACUUUUUUGAGAGCUUUCACAGAAAGAAAGGUAGAAACAUGUCCUUCAAAUUCAGUUGGAUUUACUAGGAGCAGCUUUCAUUUUGUCACAUACCA